GAUAACUAAGUGAGCUUUACGAAAGUAGGGCUUAAUUACUUUAUUAUUCACAAGGAAAACAAAAAUAAUAAAAUGCAGAAACAAAAUGCUAGUUUUCUGGUUGAAAUAUAAGUAAGAAACAUGGUUGUCUUUAUGUGAAAGCAUAAACAGAGAUAACUAUUAGGCAAAUGGCUGGACUUCUAACAAGAUGGUAUUAUUAAACAAAGAUUAAUGCUCAACCUAUUGAUGGCUCAACUUUGUGAAAAGUCAUCUAAAGCUGGUUGUUGUUUUGCUUCUAUCCAAUCCAAGGAAAAAAGCACCAAUUUUAUGAGGUGAAAAUGUUAACUUGUAUACUAUCUUUCUUUUUUUU
rnacentral:misc_RNA from 1 species